UACGUAGGGGGGCAAGCGUUGUCCGGAAUUAUUGGGCGUAAAGAGCGUGUAGGCGGCCCGAUUAGUCCGCUGUGAAAGUCCAGGGCUCAACCCUGGAAUGCCGGUGGAUACUGUCGGGCUAGAGUCCGGAAGGGGCGAGUGGAAUUCCUGGUGUAGCGGUGAAAUGCGCAGAUAUCAGGAGGAACACCAAUGGCGAAGGCAGCUCGCUGGGACGUGACUGACGCUGAGACGCGAAAGCGUGGGGAGCAAACAGG
rnacentral:rRNA from 1 species